rnacentral:ncRNA from 1 species
CAUGUCCGAGGAUAGAGGAAGUCGGGGCAACCCGGCUGGGCGUGAAAUUCUCC